UAGCAUAAUCAUUAGGAGUUUAAUUGGAACCUGGAAUGAAGGGUUGGACAAAGGAAAAACUGUCUCUAUAAUAAAAAUUGAAAUUUACUUUUAAGUGAAAAGGCUUAAAUAUAUCAGGGGGGCGAUAAGACCCUAUAAAGCUUUACAGAAAUUUAAAUUUAGUUAAUUUCGUUAAUAAAAAUUAAGUUUAAUUAUUUUGUUUUGUUGGGGUGAUAUGAGUAUAAUUAUUAAUAACUGCUUAGGGUAAAUACUAAGAUAAAAGAUUUACAUAAAUAUGAUCCUUUUUAGAGAUUAAAAGACUAAGUUACUUUAGGGAUAACAGCGUUAUUUCUCUUGAGAGUUCAUAUCGAAAGAGGAGAUUGCGACCUC
rnacentral:rRNA from 1 species